rnacentral:lncRNA from 1 species
AUUUUUAAUUUCAGUUACAAAGAGUUUUACGUCAAACUUUGAUUUAUCAAACAUUCCUGCAGCAGUUUCAAAUUCUACUUCUAUGUUGAAUACUAGAACUGAAUUGAAUACAAUUGAUACAACAGGUACAAAGAGUUUUGCGUCACACUUUGAUUUAUUAAACAUUCCUGCAG